AAUUCGCAGCUGGCUGCGCGGCCGGGCGCGUUCCCUUCCCCUCUCCCCGUGGUCCCGCGAGGGAGCCGCAGCUCAGCGGUUGCCAUGGCCACGGGCCGGGCCGGGCCGGAGACCAGGGGCCGGGGAGCCUACGGCACCUUGUCCCGCCCCAGGCAGGUUGGCAGGGACGGGAAGAAUCCCACGGCAGGGGGUCAGGGGAGGCCCCGAGGGACCCCGCCGCCCGGCCUGCGCCCUGGUCCCCCAGGGUCCUGCGGAAGUGCGGUGUCCGCCUCUCGCACUCAGACACCCAGUCCUGGGGCUCUGAGCCUCCCAGCCCCACAGGCCGCAGCCGCAGGCCCAGCACUGAUGGCCUAGGUGGACAAUGGGGCUGAGGGGGAGUUUCCAAGGGGUCUGGCCUCACACCCUGCCCGUCACGGCCGCCACCCCUCACCACCCCUCACCUCCUUAACCUCUCCCAGCCUUGGUUUCCUCACCUGUUAACCAGGGAUUAGUCAUAUCUACCAUACAGGCUUGUUAAGAUUAAAAUAGAAUAAUUAUGUAAUGUGCCAUGUGCACGCCAAACGUGGUCCUCUUUCCCUGUCCCCCUCCUGCAUCAGGCCUGGGGAGUGGGGCUUGCCCAUGUCACCCGCAGCCCCCGGGCCUGUAGUCCUAGACACAGGGAUGCCCUUGCCAGAGCCCCCCUCCCCGUCCUUGGGGUUACCUUGAACCCUGCCUCCUGCAAGAGGACGUCCUGCCUGUUGUCAGAACCUGCAGGAAUCCCAGGCUGCGGCCCAAGAAUAUUAGUGGAGGCCCUGCCUGGCUGGGGCUCUGCAGGUCAGACCUGGGUGCCCCUGAGAGCCACUCUGGGAAAGAUGUUUGCCAAUUGCCGAGAGCUAAGGCUGCAGGCCCUGAUUGGUGAGGGCUCAGGGAGGAUCUGAGAACCUUCCCUUCAGCUACUGAAGACCAGAUGGAGCUUUCUGUAUCACGCUGCCUGACGAUGAUGAGGGUACAGUGACCAAGAGUGCAGAUGAAAAGCCCAGCUCUCAGGUGCAGUGGUUCAUGCCUGUGAUCCCAGCAUUUUGGGAGGCUGAGGCGGGUGAAUCACAAGGUCAAGAGUUUGAGACCAGCCUGAUCAACACGGUGAAACACUGUCUCUACUAAAAAUACAAAAAUUAGCUGGGUGUGGUGGGGCGUGCCUGUAAUUCCAGCUACUCAGGAGGCUAAGGCAGGAGAAUCGCUUGAACCCAGGAGACAGAGGUUGCUAUGAGCUGAGAUUGUGCCACUGCACUCCAGCCUGGGCAACAGAGCAAGACUCCAUCUCAAAAAAAAAAAAAAAAAAAAAAGGAAAGAAAGAAAGGAGCUUCUGAGAGAUGGGUCUCCACCUCACUGUCAGAUACUCCAGGGCUUUGGAAAGAGCUGGCUGGCUGUUGGGCCUCACCUCAACUUUUCCCUGACUGGCAUUGCCAAGGAACUGUGGUGCUGUCCCUACUUCCUAUGCCCAGCUCCAUGGCUCCACCUCCCCAUUCCCCUUGCCUGUGAAAGCUCAAAAUAAGCUUUGUAGAGGAUGAUGCUUCUUGUAUGAGGGGUCAUCUGAGGUUGCUAAGACUGAAGCUCUUCACCAGAGAAACACAGGAAGCAUCCUGCAGCUAAGUGAGGCAAUGUCUGGGACAUGCCAGGCCAUGCCAGGUAGGCUCAGCCUGGGAUGCCCCUGGCUCAGCAGCCUGCCUCUGAGCCCUGCUGGUGGCCAGGCCAUCUGCUGGGCUCUCUCCCUGGGCGUCUUUCCAGCCUGUCUUCAGUGCUCAGGGCAUCUUUACCAGAGCAUAAAGUGGCAUUUCACUUGUCCCUCUGCCCAACAGCAAGGAAGUGGACAUCUCAGGCUCUUCUUGGAAGACACAAGGAAAGAAAGGAUGUGGUUAAUCUGAGAACCCACAGGACCACUGUGUCCCCCAAAUUCAUGUCCAUGUGGAACCUACAAAUGUGAACUUAUUUGGAAAUAGGGCCUUUGCAUAUGUAGUUAAGACGUAUUCCACAGGCCUGGGAGGUCAGGGCCAACAGCAUGCUGUAUAAGGGUGGUCCCAAUUCAAUGAGCGAUGCCCUUAUACCAGGGAAAUUUGGACACAGACACACAGAGGGGGCCACAUGGUGGUCGAGGCAGAGAUGGGAGGGAUGUGUCUACAAGCCAAGGAGUGCUGGCCACCACCAGAAGCUGGUAGGGGAGAGGAAGUCAUUCUUCCAUGGAGGCUUCAGAGGGAGCACAGUCCUAGUACACCCUGAGUGUUGGCCUCCUGGCCUCCAGAGCUGUGGGAGAAUCCAUUUCGGUUGUUUGAAGCCACUCAGUUUGUGACCUUUUGUUACGGCCACCCCAGGAAAGAAAUACAAUCACCAAAUGUCAAACACAGGGCAGCUAGGGAAAACAAGAAGGAAAUGCAUGAGGCGCAUACAGAAAAGACUUGGAAGAGACCAAGGAGGGACAGGAAGGAACACUUCCUCAGCUUCUUCCUUGCACCCUGACAGGAAGCCAGGGACCUGGUGGCUGAGCCUUGGAAGAAGUGACUACUUUCCUCCCAGCAAGAGCGGGUGAGCCUGGAUGUCGGGUGAAUGAGAAGCAUCUGAAUCUUGCUGGGUCCCAGGGAGACCUGUUAAUAAUGACAAACUCAUAACUUGGUCUUGUCUCAUCCUCACAGCAGGGCCUGAAGCAGGUUUUACUGAAAUCCCCAUGUAUAGAUUAGAAACAAGCCAGGGCGGUUGGGUGCCUGUCUGGGGUCAUGUGCCAGCAGCAGUGAUCUGUAACACGUGCCCAGCUUUCCCACAUCCCGCCCUCACCACCUAUCCUCUCCUGGUCCAGGACUCCUGUGCCCAUGUCCAGUGCCUUAGUGGGGCUGGGCCAACAGGCACAGUGAGCCCCCUGGCCACAGGCAGGGGAGUUGGAGCAUGCUGCCUGGGUUUGGAUCCCAGCUCUACUCUUGGUGAGCUGUGUGACCUUGGGCAAGUUACAUUACAUCUCUGUUUUGCAGUUUCCUCCACUGAGAAAAUAGGGACAAGAAUAGCAUGCAACUCGUGGAGUUGCUGGAGACCUCUGUGAGUCAAUGUGUUUCAAGUGCUUGGAAUAGUGCUUUGGCACAUUGGAAGCACAGCCAGAAAAGUCUUGUGAAAUAAAUAAAACUUGCUGGGC